UACGAAGGGGGCUAGCGUUGCUCGGAAUCACUGGGCGUAAAGGGUGCGUAGGCGGGUUUCAUGAGUCGAGGGUAAAUCCUGGAGCUCAACUCCAGAACUGCCUUUGAUACUGAGGAUCUUGAGUUCGGGAGAGGUGAGUGGAACUGCGAGUGUAGAGGUGAAAUUCGUAGAUAUUCGCAAGAACACCAGUGGCGAAGGCGGCUCACUGGCCCGAUACUGACGCUGAGGCACGAAAGCGUGGGGAGCAAACAGGG
rnacentral:rRNA from 1 species